CAGUAGCCACGGGAAUACAGAGGGUGCGAGCGUUAAUCGGAUUUACUGGGCGUAAAGCGUGCGUAGGCGGCUUCUUAAGACGGAUGUGAAAUCCCUGAGCUUAACUUAGGAAUUGCAUUCGAUACUGGGAAGCUAGAGUAUGGGAGAGGAUGGUAGAAUUCCAGGUGUAGCGGUGAAAUGCGUAGAGAUCUGGAGGAAUACCGAUGGCGAAGGCAGCCAUCUGGCCUAAUACUGACGCUGAGGUACGAAAGCAUGGGGAGCAAACAGGAUUAGAUACCCCGGUAGUCCCUGUCUCUUAUAC
rnacentral:rRNA from 1 species